rnacentral:rRNA from 1 species
ACCAGACUCCUACGGGAGGCAGCAGUGGGGGAUAUUGCACAAUGGGGGGAACCCUGAUGCAGCGACGCCGCGUGGGUGAAGAAGCGCCUCGGCGCGUAAAGCCCUAUCGGCAGGGAAGAAGGAGGACGGUACCUGACUAAGAAGCCCCGGCUAACUACGUGCCAGCAGCCGCGGUAAUACGUAGGGGGCAAGCGUUAUCCGGAUUUACUGGGUGUAAAGGGGGCGCAGACGGCAGCGCAAGCCAGGAGUGAAAGCCCGGGGCCCAACCCCGGGACUGCUCUUGGAACUGCGCGGCUGGAGUGCAGGAGGGGCAGGCGGAAUUCCUGGUGUAGCGGUGAAAUGCGUAGAUAUCAGGAGGAACACCGGUGGCGAAGGCGGCCUGCUGGACUGCGACUGACGUUGAGGCCCGAAAGCGUGGGGAGCAAACAGGAUUAGAUACCCCAGUA